AUUUUUUGCUUCUCAGCUGCUUCAAUAUCUGCAACCCUAGACAUUGAAUCAACACGAACUCGUGCCCCAUAGAUCUUCACUUUGUCUGUGUCCAUUGCAGUAUUUGCCACCAAAAUCUUUGCAUUCUCUAUGCGCUUUGGUUGCCCAACACCUAUCUUCUUGUCAAGAAUGAAUCCUUCAUCCAAGAAAGAAUCCUUCAGUGAUCCUCCAGGCUUCUUGAUAAUUUGGAUGGCCUCUAGGUUUGUGCUACCCUUUAACCUCAAAACAGCAUCCACGGCCAGUUUGGCAAAAUGUUCCUUAUCCUGCGAUAGAAUUUUGGAACUCAAAGUGGUCAUUGCAAUCUUCAUCAAGUCCAGCUUGAAUUUUUCUUCAUUCUCUUUGUUGUCCACAACUUUUUGCAACAAAGCAUUGCGAGCACAUUCUGCUGCCAUUCGAUAACCUGCAAUUAUUGUCAUUGGGUGAAUCUUUGCUGCCACCAGCUUUUCUGCCUCCCUUAAAAGCUCCCCAGCCAAAACAACAACAGAAGUUGUUCCAUCACCAACUUCAUCAUCUUGAACUUUUGAAAUGUCAACUAGAACUUUAGCAGCUGCGUUAUCAAUAUGAAGGGACUUUAAGAUGGUGGCCCCAUCAUUUGUAACAGUAACUUCACG
rnacentral:misc_RNA from 1 species